rnacentral:rRNA from 1 species
CCUACGGGUGGCAGCAGUAAGGAAUAUUGGGCAAUGGAGGCAACUCUGACCCAGCCAUGCCGCGUGAAGGAUGACGGCCCUAUGGGUUGUAAACUUCUUUUAUACGGGAAUAAACCCGGGUACGUGUACCCGGCUGAAUGUACCGUAAGAAUAAGGAUCGGCUAACUCCGUGCCAGCAGCCGCGGUAAUACGGAGGAUCCAAGCGUUAUCGGGAUUCAUGGGGGUUAAAGCGUGCGUGGAAGGCAUUGUAGAAAUCCUACAGCUUAACUGUAGAAGUGCCUGUGAUACUGCAAGUCUUGAGUACAUUUGAUGUGGGCGGAAUGUGUCAUGUAGCGGUGAAAUGCUUAGAGAUGACACGGAACACCAAUUGCGAAGGCAGCUCACAAAACUGUAACUGACGCUGAGGCACGACAGCGUGGGGAUCAAACAGGAUUAGAGACCCCAGUAGUC